rnacentral:rRNA from 1 species
UACGUAGGGUGCAAGCGUUGUCCGGAAUUAUUGGGCGUAAAGAGCUCGUAGGCGGUCUGUCGCGUCUGCUGUGAAAACCUAGGGCUUAACUCUGGGCGUGCAGUGGGUACGGGCAGGCUAGAGUGCGGUAGGGGGAGACUGGAAUUCCUGGCGUAGCGGUGAAAUGCGCAGAUAUCAGGAGGAACACCGGUGGCGAAGGCGGGUCUCUGGGCCGAUAUUGACGUGAGGAGCGAAAAGCAUGGGGGAGCGAACAGG